UACGUAGGGGGCAAGCGUUGUCCGGAUUUAUUGGGCGUAAAGAGCUCGUAGGCGGCUGGUCACGUCGGAUGUGAAAGCUCAAAGCUCAACUUUGAGAGGCCAUUCGAUACGGAUCAGCUAGAGGUAGGUAGGGGAAAGUGGAAUUCCUGGUGUAGCGGUGAAAUGCGCAGAUAUCAGGAGGAACACCGGUGGCGAAGGCGGGUCUCUGGGCAGUAACUGACGCUGAGGAGCGAAAGCGUGGGGAGCGAACAGG
rnacentral:rRNA from 1 species